CAGCCGCCGCGGGAAAACGUAGGGUGCAAGCGUUAAUCGGAAUUACUGGGCGUAAAGCGUGCGCAGGCGGUUUUGUAAGACAGAGGUGAAAUCCCCGGGCUCAACCUGGGAACUGCCUUUGUGACUGCAAGGCUAGAGUACGGCAGAGGGGGAUGGAAUUCCGCGUGUAGCAGUGAAAUGCGUAGAUAUGCGGAGGAACACCGAUGGCGAAGGCAAUCCCCUGGGCCUGUACUGACGCUCAUGCACGAAAGCGUGGGGAGCAAACAGGAUUAGAUACCCCUGUAGUCCCUGUCUCUUAUAU
rnacentral:rRNA from 1 species